UACGUAGGGGGCAAGCGUUGUCCGGAAUCAUUGGGCGUAAAGCGCGUGUAGGCGGCCAGAAAAGUCCGCUGUGAAAACUCGAGGCUCAACUUCGAGCUGUCGGUGGAAACUUUCUGGCUAGAGUCCGGAAGAGGCGAGUGGAAUUCCCGGUGUAGCGGUGAAAUGCGUAGAGAUCGGGUGGAACACCAGUGGCGAAGGCGGCAUCCUGGCCCUGACCUGACGCUGAGGCGCGAGAGCGUGGGGAGCAAACGGGG
rnacentral:rRNA from 1 species